GUUAUUUGACUGGAGUGAGGUCUCAUGUCUGCUUAUGCGGUGGCUCGCUGCUCAGAACAGGGAGGAAGAGGGUAAUCUGGAAGAGUUUCCUGACCUACUCUGCUGCUGUGAUUAAACAACCACCAGGAAAUUUUGAUGACACUGUUCUCCUGAGCUCCUCCCUUUCCUCGGGGAAGAAAAGCAUUGAAACUACAAAAAUAAAGUGUUAUUUGGCUGGAGUGAGGUCUCAUGUCUGCUUAUGCGGUGGCUCGCUGCUCAGAACAGGGAACCAUUGGAGAUACUCAUUACUCUUUGAAGGCUUACAGUGGAAUGAAUUCAAAUACGACUUAUUUGAGGAAUUGAAGUUGACUUUAUGGAGCUGAUAAGAAUCUUCUUGGAGAAAAAAAGACUGGGUAUAUUUUCAAUAUGCUUUCCUUUUAAGGUCCCUCACCUGUGGAAAGUAAAGAAUGUCACUUUCUGACAGGCUCAGGAACCUCAAGUUAUGUAGGGAUCUCAAGAAGAUGGGGGAAUUCACCCAGUUCAUACAGGUGAAAUUGCUGUUGCAAAGAUUAUGAAUAUGAGAGAAGUCCAGCAUGGCUGACUUCAUCUCGUGUCUGGCCUCAGGCUGGCUGCCCUUGCUCACUCUUGGGCAUAGGCCAAGCUAGCCAUGGGAGGAAUUUAGUUUAUAGUUUAACUUUGAAGCACGGAUGAUAAUAGUCUCUCCCUAAAAUGAACCCCUUCCUUGCUCAGGGACUGAAACUACCUUUGUAUGACAAAUGAAAGCCCACAAGAUUAAGAUUAUGAGAGGGGCCUGAAUUCUGCUAAAAUGCAGGUGUAGCUGACUGAUAACAAGUCAUUGUCCCACAGCUUGCCUUUCUAUAAUCUCUUGCUUCUCAGGAGUCACAUGGCCAGAGGUCCUGAGAUUUCCAGUCCUGUGACCCCCACCCAGAGAUGGACUUAGUGCAUGAGGACCAUUUUCCACACCCCUAUGAUUUCAUCCUCAAACAAUCAGCAGCAACCAUUCCCUAGCCCCCUGCCUUCCAAAUUAUCCAUAAAAAUCCUAGCCUCUGAGUUAUUAGGGAGAUUGAUUAAUAAUCCCAGUCCUACCCCUUGGGUUGCUCUGAUUUAAUUAAACCUUCUCUACUGCAAUACCACGGACUCAGUAAAUUGGUUUUGUCUGUGCAAUGGGCAAGAAGAACAUGUUGCAUGGUUAUACAGGUACUACAAGCACAGUCUGAUGGCAAAUUAUUGGUUUUGCUUCCUGCCCUUGAUGUUUCUAAACAUCUAGUCCAAAAUUACUUGUGAAAGGUCCAGCAAAGCCAAUUUUAAAAGAGGCUAUAUGGCCAAUCACUAUUCUUUCUACACAUUAUUGCAAAUAAUCAGGCCACGGCUGGGCACGGUGGCUCAUGCCUGCAAUCCCAGCACUUUGGGAGGCUGAGGCAGGAUCACCUGAAAUC
rnacentral:lncRNA from 1 species